CAUUAUCUUUCCAUCAAAAUUCAUACACAUGACACCAUGUGACUUAUAUUUAGUUUUUAAACCCAAGUUUACCCUUCACAUUUUCAUUCUUCUUCCCCUAGCAUUGAACCCCUUCAUCUCUGGCCUCUCUCUCUCCUUCUUCCCCUUCUGCAACUCAUCUCAAAUCUACAAGGAUGCAGCAGCAAAACCCAGGGGAUCUUCACGAACUAAAGCAUCAGGAGAUAAAAGAGGCGAGUGAGCGACUUGCCGUUAGCAAACCUAGAUCUGCAACUCCAUCUCCGCCUUUGAUGUCACGUUUGCCGUGUGCCUGUUGUCACCGUUUGGUUAUUGAGGGAGCAAGUAUAAGGUCCGAUUGAUUUCAGGUUUUGGUUCUCCGAGCACCUCUAUUAUCCAAUAAGUUCCAGCAUUUUCAAUCUGGUGGUGAUAGUGGAGGACAGGUUCGGACUUCUAGCCAAAGCAUUAACAACGGUUGUUAACAGUGGUGAAGACCAUUAACGAUGUGAUUAAUGAUUGAGGGGAAGUGGAGAGGGAGAACGAAGAGGGGAAGGGGGCAGAGGAAGAACACCAUCGCUUUUGUUGGAAGUUGCAGCGGCGGCGGUGAUUUUGGCAGAUCCAAACACAGAGCUGAAGGGGAUGGGGAAGAAGAAGAUCGCUGCCUUUGCCGAAAGUUGUAGUGGUGGCGGCAAUUUUGGCGUCAAAAAAUAGAAGGAAAAGAGAGAGCUUUGAAUGAAGGGAAAAGUUGCAGUGCCAAAAGUUGUUAUUCAAAUUGAACAAGAACUCUUAUUUCUCAGUCUUUCUCUCUCUCUACUUUGUUAUUUGAGAGCUUUGUUAUUCAAUUGCUUCCCAACCCAAUUUUUCCCUCUCCCACCAGCUUUUUCCCUCUUUGAGGGUGGAAUCUGAUCAUAGAUUGAGAGCUGAUUUGGGAUGAUUUCUUUGUGAGUGCAAUGAAACUCAUCUUUUUUUGAAUAAAGUUUGAAGAAAAAAAAAAGAAGAGAGAAAGAGAGAGAAGAUUGGGCAAAUCUUAGUGCUCGCUAAGAUUUGGGAAAAAUUGCAGACUGGAGCUCAAAUCGUAGAUCGGAGAGAGAGACUGGGAAAAAUCUCAGAUUGUUGUCAACUUUAACAGAAGAGUAAAACCACCACUCAUACCAAUCCAGAACCAGAGGUUAGAAUACAGUUCUUCACUCCACAGGUUUUGAUCACCAACGACAUCAGAAAGUUGAUGCAAAUUAUGAAUAGAAUUUGAAGGAAAGAAAAGAAAAGAGAGAGAAGAUUGGUUAAAUCUCAGUGCCCGUUGAGAUUUGGGAAAAAUUGCAGACUGGAGCUCAAUUUAAUGGAAGACGGAGUGGAAGAGACUAUGGAAGACAAGAAUCGACAUUAAAAAAUUUAAAGAAGAAUGAUGGACAAAAUAGUCUUUUUAAUCUUUCUGUUAAUGGACAUUGACGGUGCUUAGUCCUUGACAGAUGCUUCAAGUGUUCCACGCUCUUCGACAUUGUUAAGAUGUCCUCUUCGUCCUCUUCUCUUCUUGCUCUAGUAAUUCGUGGGGUCUCAUCCAGAGGCUAUUGUGCUCAUGGUCCACAAGAUCGAUGCCCAUGAGGCAGUGGUUGAGGGACAUGGAGACGAGGGUGCCGCGACAGAGGAGGCUGGGGUUCCCAGGAGGCUAAGGUCAGGGAAAUCGACAAGGUUGAUGUCAAUGUAGAGAUAGUGUCCAAUGAGAGACCUAGCACUUCUUCGCGGUUUGGCGACUGUUUUGCUUCUUCCCCAUAUAGCUUAACACCUCGGGACCUAGCUCGUAUUAGAGAGUUGUACUACAUUCCCGAAGAGUACAAGAUAAGGUGUCUCAGAGUAGGUAAAUGGGCAACUUUAGCUCGCCCUGGCGAGCUUUGUAUUUAUGAACAUAACCUGAUAGUCGGGAUGAGGUUUCCUUUGAACGUUGGGAUUGUAACUGUGUUGAGGUGGCACCACGUCCAAGCUUGUCCAACCCAUGCCAAAUUCCUUUAGGUACCUCGUCGGGCUCCUCCGCUAUUGCAUGAUCCAUGACGUGGACAUCACCCUGCCAAUGUUCACGUAUUUUCUACACCUGAAGAAGCACCAACAAGGCUACUACUACUCAACUUGGUAGAAUACCAAGGUGCUUGUGGAGGCCCCCUCUUCGGUGAAGCACUAAAAAGAGGGGUUCUUCUUCAUGCACCGCCAGGGGGGCAGGCCAUUCCCUACCGAGCUGUCAGUUCCAAAGAGUAAGGUGAAGGUGCCAACCGAGGCUGAGCUGUCCAAAGAGGAGUUGUGACCAUCCGACGGAUUGCGAGGGUGCAUGUACAAGAAUACACCUCGUCUGUUGUCUUCCUCGGCACUGACUAAUCGUUGUCUUUCAUUUGGCAGACAUUAUCAUGGCGGGUAGUGAAGAGGAAAGGGUGCGACAUAUGUAGGUCGUUGCGCUGUGAAAGGCGGCUGCAUAGUUGUCAGGGGCAGCUCAGCAGUGGCGACGCUUCGGCGAGACUACUCCUCGGAAAUUGAAGAGGCCGAGGCCURCGAAAGGUGACAUAGUGGAGGUCGGCUCAGAGGGGAGGCAUCUGCAAUGCGCACGACAACAAGUGUGCUGGAGAGUGUGACCAUCCGCAAACCCAUUAUGAUGGUCGAGGCAUGGGAGGUGGAGAACUCUCUAUUGAAUGCAGAGAUGGCCGAACUAAAGAAGGCCAUGGCGGGAAAUGACAACAACUUGUGGAAGGCAAAGGGCCGGGUGUGUGAGCUCAAGGAGGCCCGUGACAAGGUGCGAAAAGUGGCUGAUAAGGUCGAGGCAAAGCUAUUCCAUGUUGAGGAGGAGGCGAUCAUGAAGUAUAAGAAGUCUGAGGCAUUCCAAAUCUAGCUCGACAACUACGCUACUAACUCCUAGAAGAUCUGUUUUGCAUGGUGUAAAAGGAGUCUUGGACUUGUACCUCGAGGUGGUGGUCAUGGUGGAGAAGUUGGGCUCUUUUGACACCAAGGAGGGCACAAAGAGCAGGCCACACAACCAAAUCCCGUGAUUGUCUUCGAGGAGCAGACUUGUGCCGACGAUGUGGCUAAAGAGAGUUGAUGAUGGCAGUUGUCUACCCAUUCCUCUUUUUUUUUUUUUUUUUUCUUUUUACUUUGAUGUAUUUAGCUCGGUAUGCUGAGCUUUCCAACAUUGUAUUAGACUUGAAUGUUAAUGGAAAUUUCCC